UUAUUUUCCCCUCUUUUCCCUUUUUUUAAAGUUAAUUCUCAAACUUAUUUUUGAUAGGUUGAAUUGGAUGAAGACUGUAGCUUGGUGUUAGCAACAAUAUUACCACCUAUCUUCAGUUAAAGUUCAAUUUCAGGGAGACUUGCUCUUGGACUUUUCAGCAACACUCUGUGAAACCUAAAGCUUAUUGCGAACUUUUUUUUUUUUUAAUCUUAGUGUAGUUGUUUCAAUAACAAACAAACUCAUUGUCAUUUUCUUUUCUUCUUUUUUUGCUUAUCAAAUUGUAACUCUUUCACCUAUAUACAUAACAGUACUAUUAUGCAUCCAUUUGAACUUGGUUACAAGAACUAUCAUGAGAAAUAUUUUAUAGGGAUUAAGCAUCUAGCAAAUAACGAUUAUCUGAAGAAUUUGAAUCUUCUGUGGAAAUAUGAUGAUGGGAUGUAUUGCUUGGAUUCUUUCAGAAUUUGAGAAGUUGAUGUAGGUAUGGAAGUCAGUUAGACUUGUCUAUAAUUAAAUGUUACAUUUGAUUAUAAUCAAAUUUGAAGAAUCUUGACUUGUGAUCAAAUGCAUGAAUAUUUAUAUAUACAGAAUAGGCAAUGAACCUUUAUUCUGUUAGGAUUUUACUAUGCAAUUCUUGGGGUUGGAGUGGAGGGUUUAGGAUAUUUUCUACCUUGGGUGACACUCAUCCAAGAAGCAAUGGUUUUGACAAUGUUGGAACAGGAGAAACUGGUAGAUCUUUAGUUUUUAUUCUUUGUUUUCUGAUUUAUUGUUAGUUUUUACUAAAUUACACCCUUACAUUCUAUAAUUUUUAAUAGAAAAUAGUUGAUUGGCUUGCUAAAAACCGUAAGAAAGAUGAAGGCACAGAUCUUCUGAAAGACAAGCAAGCAUUUACCAUGAUGAAGCAAUCAUCUAUGACUUAGACUAAUAUUAGAACUGGGUUCAGAAUUGCUGGACAGGAGCAUGAGGAAAUGACUGGAAAAGAGCCAAAUGUGAUUGUAAAUCCUUAUGAAGUUGUUGCUCUUGGAGCUAUAGUUCAGGACUUGAAAUUUUAGGUGGUGUGAUGACAGAUUAUCUGAAGGAACCCAACCUUACCAAUUUCCAAAUCAAGGUUGUUUUCUUUUCCACUGCAGCAGAUGAAUAUAAACCAGUAUUAAGGUGAGAGAGUUUGUGAGGGACAACAAAUCUCUUGGAAUCUUUUGCUUAGAUGGCAUCCCACAUGUGCCACAUGGAGUUCCUCAAAUUGUGGUGAAAUUUGGUAUUGAUGCAAUGGUAUCCUUUCGGUCACUGUAGUUGACAAGGGAAUUGGAAAGAAGCCGGAUAUCGCCAUAACUGGUGCUAGCACCUUGUAAAGUGAUGCAUUCUUGAGGUUGGAGACUCAUCCAAGAAGCAAUGGCUUUGACAAGGUUGGAACAAGAGAAACUGGUAGACAUUUAGUUUAU